rnacentral:rRNA from 1 species
AAUGAACGCUGGCGGCGUGCCUAACACAUGCAAGUCGGAUGUGCCGCAAGGUGCAUGGCAGACGGGUGAGUAACGCGUAGGGAAUCUACCUUUUUGUGGGGAAUAACGCUCCGAAAGGAGUGGUAAUACCGCAUGAGACCGUGAGCUGGGAUGUUCACGGUGAAACCUGGGGACCGCAAGGCCUGGGGCAAAAAGAGGAUCCUGCGUCUGAUUAGCUAGUUGGCGGGGUAAUGGCCCACCAAGGCGACGAUCAGUAGCCGGCCUGAGAGGGUGAUCGGCCACACUGGAACUGAGACACGGUCCAGACUCCUACGGGAGGCAGCAGUGGGGAAUUUUGCGCAAUGGGCGAAAGUCUGACGCAGCAACGCCGCGUGGGUGAUGAAGGUCUUCGGACUGUAAAACCCUGUCGUCAGGGACGAAGGUGGCAGUGUUAAUAGCGCUGUUACUUGACGGUACCUGGAGAGGAAGCCCCGGCUAACUCUGUG